rnacentral:misc_RNA from 1 species
UCCGGUGAGAAGCCCAGCGGCG